AACGUAGGAGGCAAGCGUUAUCCGGAAUUACUGGGCGUAAAGCGUUCGUAGGCGGCUUCGUGUGUCGGAGGUGAAAUCCCCGGGCUCAACCCGGGAACUGCCUUCGAAACUGCGGGGCUAGAGCACAUCAGAGGGUGAUGGAAUUCCCGGUGUAGCGGUAAAAUGCUUAGAUAUCGGGAGGAACACCAGUGGCGAAGGCGGUCACCUGGGGUGUUGCUGACGCUGAGGAACGAAAGCCAGGGUAGCGAACGGGAUUAGAUACCCCUGUA
rnacentral:rRNA from 1 species